rnacentral:rRNA from 1 species
AUUGAACGCUGGCGGCAUGCCUUACACAUGCAAGUCGAACGGUAACAGGUCUUCGGAUGCUGACGAGUGGCGAACGGGUGGGUAAUACAUCGGAACGUGCCCGAUCGUGGGGGAUAACGAGGCGAAAGCUUUGCUAAUACCGCAUACGAUCUACGGAUGAAAGCGGGGGAUCUUCGGACCUCGCGCGGACGGAGCGGCCGAUGGCAGCUUAGGGAGUUGGUGGGAUAAAAGCUUACCAAGCCGACGAUCUGUAGCUGGACUGAGAGGAGGAUCAGCCACACUGGGACUGAGACACGGCCCAGACGCCUACGGGAGGCAGCAGUGGGGAAUGUUGGACAAUGGGCGAAAGCCUGAUCCAGCCAUGCCGCGUGCAGGAUGAAGGCCUUUGGGUUGUGAACUGCUUUUGUACGGAGCGAAAAGCCUCUUUCUAAUAAAGAGGGGUCAUGACGGUACCGUAAGAAGAAGCACCGGCUAACUACGUG